ACGGGGGGUGCGAGCGUUGUCCGGAAUCACUGGGCGUAAAGGGCGCGUAGGUGGUUUGAUAAGGGUGUGGUGAAAGUCCGGGGCUCAACCCCGGAUCUGCCGUGCCGACUGUCAAACUCGAGGGCUGUAGAGGCAGACGGAAUUCCGGGUGUAGCGGUGGAAUGCGUAGAGAUCCGGAAGAACACCGGUGGCGAAGGCGGCCCGCUGGGCUGUGGCUGACGCUGAGGCGCGACAGCGUGGGGAGCAAACAGGA
rnacentral:rRNA from 1 species